rnacentral:rRNA from 1 species
AGUGAACGCUGGCGGUAGGCCUAACACAUGCAAGUCGAACGGCAGCACAGAGGAGCUUGCUCCUUGGGUGGCGAGUGGCGGACGGGUGAGGAAUACAUCGGAAUCUACUCUGUCGUGGGGGAUAACGUAGGGAAACUUACGCUAAUACCGCAUACGACCUACGGGUGAAAGCAGGGGAUCCUCGGACCUUGCGCGAUUGAAUGAGCCGAUGUCGGAUGAGCUAGUUGUCGGGGUAAAGGCCCACCAAGGCGACGAUCCGUAGCUGGUCUGAGAGGAUGAUCAGCCACACUGGAACUGAGACACGGUCCAGACUCCUACGGGAGGCAGCAGUGGGGAAUAUUGGACAAUGGGCGCAAGCCUGAUCCAGCCAUACCGCGUGGGUGAAGAAGGCCUUCGGGUUGUAAAGCCCUCUUGUUGGGAAAGAAAUCCAUCUGGUUAAUACCCGGGUGGGAUGACGGUACCCAAAGAAUAAGCACCGGCUAACUUCGUGCCAGCCGCCGCAGUAA